GUUAUAAUAAAAAAUAACAAAAUUGUCCUUAGAACCAAACAAAACCUAACUUUUCUCAUUCAGAAGAUAUCUCUCUCGUUCAACUGUUCAAGUUUCAUAAAAAAUGAAUUCUUGAGAAACCCACACCGCCCACGUCGCCGCCGGUACAAGACUCGUUCGUCCCACCAUCCACGUCGUCGCCAGAGACCGUCGAGUUUGUUUUCAGCAAUCCAUCUUGAUCUUCUUCAUCUAACUUGCUUCUCUUCUCUUGAAUCUUGAGUUGGUGUUCGGUUAUGGCUUGAAGUAAUAUUGAAAUGUUGUAAUUCACUAUUUCUUGAAUCAGUAAAAGAUCACCUAAAGGUGAUUUAUUGUCGAAACUAUGACAUCAUCAAAAAAUGGCGACGAAACUGAAGUGCGAAUGAGGCAUAGCUGAAUUCCGGUGAAUUUGAGCACCAUCAAUGAAAAGUUAACAAAAACUCAACGUGCUCACAUCGAAUGCACCCCAUUCAAAUGAGCGAUGAAUAUUUCUAACAACUUCUCAAUCUCAGGUGGUUUAUUAUGGGAGUUGGUAAGUAGAUGGGAUGUACGUAGUAGGGGAUUUAGGGUUAGGGAUAGAAUAGUUCCCUUUACUCCAGUUGAUGUUUCUUUUGCUCUUGGACUGUCUAUUGUUGGUAAGUCUCUAGUAGUAGAAGAAGAUCAACAAUGUGAAACAUUAGAUUUAUUUAAAGGGGCUGAUAUAACCAUUAACAAUAUCCACAAACAACUUCGUUACCAUAAGAAAAAAUUAGUUAAUUUUGUUAGACUUUA